CCUACGGGGGGCAGCAGUGAGGAAUAUUGGUCAAUGGGCGCGAGCCUGAACCAGCCAAGUAGCGUGAAGGAUGACUGCCCUACGGGUUGUAAACUUCUUUUAUAAAGGAAUAAAGUGAGGCACGUGUGCCUUUUUGUAUGUACUUUAUGAAUAAGGAUCGGCUAACGCCGUGCCAGCAGCCGCGGUAAUACGGAGGAUCCGAGCGUUAUCCGGAUUUAUUGGGUUUAAAGGGUGCGUAGGCGGAUCGUUAAGUCAGUGGGCAAAUUGAGGGGCUAAACCGCUUCCCGCCAUUGAAACUGGCGUUCUUGAGUGGAAGAGAGGUAUGCGGAAUGCGUGGUGUAGCGGUGAAAUGCAUAGAUAUCACGCAGAACCCCGAUUGCGAAGGCAGCAUGCCGGCUUCCGACUGACGCUGAAGCACGAAAGCGUGGGGAUCGAACAGGAUUAGAUACCCUUGUAGUC
rnacentral:rRNA from 1 species